CUGUUAGUAAGAAGUGUACAUUCAACAAUAGUCAACGUAUUAUAAAAAUGUGUCUAUUUUAUAUAACAUUGUUUGAGUUUAUUACUUAAUAAUGCUAAAAUUUCCAUGUUAAAAAUUACCAUCACUUCGAAAAUGGAUUUAACUUUGUAACAAAGCAGACGCUGUGCAAUCCCGAUAAGGUGACAUGAAAUUCUCGGAACUCGAAGGAUUCACAGGAGGAGCCCGAAACGUGCUUUGAUUUAAUAUUUUCAUAUACACAAGAAAAAAACUUAUUAAAAAGUUUAAAUGGCAAGUCAUUAACAUCAAAACUCGUUCGUGGAAACUUGAAACAUCAAAUAUUUUAUAAUCGUUUGUAUCAACGAAGAAAAAUCUUUAAUAUUUAAUGAAAUUCUUUUUUUUUAUUAUUAUUCAUUGAAAGAAGUUAGUUUUUGUAUAACAAUAAAAUAUGAAUUUGAUUAAUUGUUAAUAUUUUAUAAAAUACAAUACAAGAAUCUAUUAAUUAUAUUUUAUAAUUAUCUAGUUAUAAUCAUAAAAAUUUUUAUAGAAUAAAAUAUUUAAUGAUUUUAAUACAAUUUUAAUACAAACAACUUUAUUGUUUUUAUUAUAUUUACCAAAAAAAACCGUCUCAAAAUGGCGACACUUAUAAAAACAAAGGACAAAUUAUUUCACAAAGUUCACUUAUUUUCAAAAGAUGAAAAAUACGUAUUUGUAGAGAACUAAAUAUUUUUAUCACACAUAUAUGUUUUAAAAAAAAUACUUAUUUGUUAGAUAUCUUUAAAUAGAUUAAAAUUUAAAACCAUUAAAUGAAAAAAAAUUUCUUUGGAAUCGGUAUUAAACGUAUUUUACAAACAGUG